GAGUUUGAUCAUGGCUCAGAUUGAACGCUGGCGGAAUGCUUUACACAUGCAAGUCGAACGGCAGCACGGGUGCUUGCACCUGGUGGCGAGUGGCGAACGGGUGAGUAAUACAUAGGAACAUACCCAGUAAUGGGGGAUAACGCCGAGAAAUCGGUGCUAAUACCGCAUACGCCCUACGGGGGAAAGCGGGGGAUCUUCGGACCUCGCGUUAUUGGAUUGGCCUAUGUCUGAUUAGCUAGUUGGUGAGGUAAAGGCUCACCAAGGCUUCGAUCAGUAGCUGGUCUGAGAGGAUGAUCAGCCACACUGGAACUGAGACACGGUCCAGACUCCUACGGGAGGCAGCAGUGGGGAAUUUUGGACAAUGGGCGAAAGCCUGAGCCAGCCAUUCCGCGUGAGUGAAGAAGGCCUUCGGGUUGUAAAGCUCUUUCGGCAGGAACGAAAUGGUUACGGUUAAUAACUGUGACUUCUGACGGUACCUGAAGAAGAAGCACCGGCUAACUACGUGCCAGCAGCCGCGGUAAUACGUAGGGUGCGAGCGUUAAUCGGAAUUACUGGGCGUAAAGCGUGCGCAGGCGGUUUUGUAAGUCAGAUGUGAAAGCCCCGGGCUUAACCUGGGAAUGGCGUUUGAAACUACAAGGCUAGAGUGUGU
rnacentral:rRNA from 1 species